rnacentral:rRNA from 1 species
UACGGGGGGGGCAAGCGUUGUUCGGAAUUACUGGGCGUAAAGGGUUCGUAGGUGGCCAACUAAGUCAGACGUGAAAUCCCUCAGCUCAACUGGGGAACUGCGUCUGAUACUGGUCGGCUUGAGUGCAGGAGAGGAACGCGGAAUUCCAGGUGUAGCGGUGAAAUGCGUAGAUAUCUGGAGGAACACCGGUGGCGAAGGCGGCUACCUGGACAGAAACUGACGCUGAGGCGCGAAAGCUAGGGGAGCGAACGGG